UGGCAGUGAGGAGAAAUUGAAAGGCCGGUCUUACAGCUGCCUCCAAACACGGAUGAUCGAUAUCCUCUCGUCGUCGUUCUGGGAUGGUAGUAGCAUGAUGUGAUGUGAUUCGGCGAAAGGUUUUCUCUGAGCCAU
rnacentral:snoRNA from 1 species